rnacentral:lncRNA from 1 species
AGCUGUCCAGCCCGCCCAAAUAGCGGCAGCAACUGUAACAGGAGCUCGUCUCGCGCUCCACUGCGGUGUCGCGCGCGCACACAUAUACAUACGCGCGCGCGACUCGAUCGAUAACGGCUGCCCGAAAAGGGGGGGGGGACGAGGAGCUGCGCGCGCACGCGCGCCGUGGCUGUAGCGCGCGCUCACCCACCCUCACGCAGGAAUAGCGUUAGGGAGGGAGUGGAAAAGGGAGGAGCUCGGAGGGUGAGGUGGGGUGAGACCGCGGUGUAGUCCCGUCAGGGUGGGGAAAGAGAAGUAGGAAAACAACAUUUCGAAGGAGGAAGCUGGGCCGCCCGCUCCCCGCCCUCCCCACAUUGCGACGGGAGUGACGAGGCAGGCCAGGAUUGCCCAUUGGGAGAAGGGGAGCGGGGAGGGGAGGGCAGAUAUAUAUGGGGGAACUUGGGGUUAUCCAGAGCGGAGGCGACCCAUAGGGUGCAUACCAGCAGCAGCAGUAAUCAUUUGCUGUCGGUGCGUCCACACUUUUUAAAAGGGUGUCCUCACACCACACACCUCACCCCAGCCACUAGUCAAGGCAGAUUUGCCUCUCUAAACCCACUGGGCUGUUACGAAAAUGGCACCUUUGAAUCCAUGGUGGGAAUAUUAUGGAAUCCAGAGAUUCCCUGUCUUAAAAUAUGGGUUGCCUGGUUCCCCUCCCCAGUCCAUUUUUUUUAAAAAAGAGGUUCAAGUUCGCAGGGCACUUCCACUACUACAGCCAAGUCCACUAACCUGGUGAGUAUUAGAGGAGGAAUUAUUUUAAUAAAAAAAAAUAGCUAUCCUGCUGCAGGUGGUUUCUUCUCAGCCAGUAAUAUAAAUAAUUAUCUACAUCUGUGCAGUAUGGUGGCUUAUGUACUUCCGUUUCAUUUUUAUUGGCUCCUCAAAGGGAAGAAACUUAAUAUUUUUAAUUAAUUCUCUGAAUUGAAUUAUAUCUCUUGCUUCACUCUGUAGAGUCAUUAUGCUGGAGAGUGGAACUUGCAUUAUGUAUAUCUGAGGCUAUUGCGAUGGGGUCAGAUUUUAGUACAUCUUUAAAUAUUUAACACAACUUUUAAAAUCAAAUUUAUUAUAACAUUCUUCUUAAUUUCCCCUAAUCUUUCUUUUGUUUCAAUCUGUAAAGGUUUGGCCUUCCUAGUUAAUAAUGUCUAAAACAGUCCUAGAUUUUCGUAUCACUACCUUAAAGCAGCAUGCCCAUCACACAAGCCUGGUAGGUAGACCAUAUUCUUGGUAUUGGUUAUUAGCAUCGUAUUCUUCCAUACCCUUUUGGAGAAGCGAGCCAUUACGCUAUAUCCAUCCCUCCAAGCACUGUGAUUGGAGUGUGUUGGGUGAGAUUCUAACUCCCAAUGAGCAAGAUCCAGUCCCUUUCCUUCCUUCCUCUCCCCCAUCCUGGCACUUACAUUAUGUUGUUCAUAUUUUUUUCUAUCAUUUUAGAGAUGGGCUGACUUUUUAAAAAUAAAAUAAGAAACAAUCUCCAAAGAGCUUUGGUGGGGGGUAUUUAUUUUGGAUGACUUUAAGCAGGCCCCACCUGGGUCUGAACACAGUCACCGCAGGAUUCUGAUGAAGCAGUUGCACAGCCCUAGUAGACAAUACUAAGGGAGAUCUGUAGUCUGAUUCAGUGUAAUGUAGCUUCCUGUUUCUAGCAGGAUUUAAAAAAAAAAAAAUCUGUCUCAGAUUCCACCAAUGGUAAGCCCCCAACAAAACACUUUGAAAAUAUUCAUUUCUCCCCCAAUAGCCUUGUUUUGUAUAUGCCUUUUGUCCCUGUCCUGACAAACCUCAAGAUAAAGCAUUCUGUACAGAACUUUCAGCUCAGCCUUUAAUAUUGUACUCUUCCCUAUUUGUUGCAUUUUUUCAGGUUUAGUUCAGCAUUGAUGAGCGUUGCCCUCUGCUAGUUUUAAAUUCUAAAAAGGAAUCAGGAUUACCAUCUAACAGCACCUGAACAGAAAGUAGGGAUGAGGAACAUCAAGGAAUGGCAUACCAUAGGGUUUCUCAAACGAAAAGUAUUGCUAUCCCACAUCAACCUGCUCUGUUUAGCAGAUGUCUUUUUCUUUCUUAAAAAUGUUUUCCAAAGCAAUAACUGAUUAUACCAUAGUAAAACAAGGUGUUGCUGCUGAAGCAAAUGACAAAUGACUUACUCAAAAAGAUAGCUGUAGCUGCUAAGCUUGAUAUACAGGAUAUAUAUCUUGCUUUGCAUGUCAUGAGUCUAUCUCAUAUAUUAGUUUUACCUUUUAAGUUGAAUUACUGAAAUAAAUGAACUUUUCCACAAUAUUCUAAUUUUUUGAGUUUCACUUGUAGGCUAGCAGCAGCUCCUUUUCUUUCUGAGAGCGCAUAUGAUGGUUAUCUAGUAUUUGAAGUCUCUUCUGCUAUGCCCGAUGUGCAGAAAGCAGGUGAAUGGUAAUGUACCCCCAUUCUACAGAAGUAGAUGACAUACUGGAGAGAAUAUAAACUGAGCUGUGAGUGAAUAGACUUCCAACGUUCUACUAUAUGUUGUUUUUGCAGCUAGAUGUUUCCAAUGCUCAACCUAAGUGGAUGGCUGAGAAGGAUGCAUUGUACCAGGACCCAGAGAUGGGCAGAUACCAUGCUUGAGCUCUGAUGAUAGAAAAGUCCCGUGUAAUUUUAAAAAUGUAGAAAAAGUAAAUUUAGAAUGAAAUUAGAACAUUUUCUUUCAUGACUCAUGCAUUGCAUGUAUGAGAUGGGAUAGUACUAUGUGUGGGGAAUGGGGACUGUGCUUCAAGCUUGUACUGAGACUAAAAAAAUGCUUAGGACGUGGAUGUAUGAGUGGUCUCUUCUAUUUUGAUCUAUUUUGCUCAGAAAUGGCACAUCAUGUUUUUAUUAGAAUCUGCUCAGAUUAUACACACACACCACAAUGCCAGUAUUAGUAUGUGCCUCCUCAAAUCUGGGUUUUCAGGAGCUGCCAUUCUCAUGUCAAAACCUUGAAAUUAUCCUUGCACAGCAAGGCUGUCUUGGAAAUAUGGUCUACAUAAUAUGCUGGAUCAGCUCCAAUUAAAUUACAUGUUUACCAAACAGUAUUGCAGAAUGAGCAUAUUAAGGUUUCAGAGGGCAAUUCAUAAAAGAUGUAACAUGUUCUGAGAUUAUUUUCAAGUUCUAUUCACUUGCUUUUUGUAAAAUGAAAGAUACAUGUAGAACAAAAUCUAUACCCCCAUGACUUCCCUAACGUACCUAUUCCAGAAAAAGAUUAAUAAGUUUAAAAUAUGAAGGCUCUUUUUCUGUUUCUCAGCAGAAUGACAUAUUAGAAGUCCCACAAGUCAAGGCAACUCUUGCCUAUGACCCUUUUAAACUCUUCCACUGUAAACAACAUGGUUCAUUGCACCUCCUCCUUCCCUCUCAGAACAGCUGAACAUGCAGCAGCUGGCAGUUCCUGGCAUAGAAAAUCAUGAGAAUUAUAUAAGUACCUUAAUCCUUCCAUGUUGCUUCCUGAUUGGCACUUAAAAUGUAGUGACUCAGCCACUGAUGUAUGAUCCCACAACAGUAAUAUGCAAUUUAUGAAGAGCCCUUUAAGUUCCUCCCUUUUCAUCAGCAAAAAGCUUUUCUCACGCUUCAUCUCAAGAAAUCUCAACACUGUAAUGACUGGCAAAACCUCUGAUGUCAAAUAGGCUUAAAUGUAUUUGAAAACUAGAAGAAGAAUUGAAGCAGCUCUCUUCAUUCUAUAGGUUACCGCUACUUUUAGAGUUUUCAGUGAAAAGUAUUUGGAAACAUUCAACUUAGUUCUCUAUAUUUGUGGUGAUAAACUUAUCAGACAUUACUGAUAAGGGUUCAACAGAAUUUUGAUCUAACUUUAGAUUGAAUAGAAAACUAUCAGUCUUAAUAUAGUGCCUUGAACGAUUUCUGUACAGUUGGGUAUAAACCAGUAGAUUUUUCUGUAAAGAUUUUGUGUAAAAGCUUUACAACUCACUGGGGGAACUUUGAAUGACUUCUGUGUAUUCUACCAUUAGACCUCUAACUUUAAAUCCCUGACCCCCAGUGAGGGUAUGCUAAAAAUGGGUUACAUGCAGUUUCUGACCAAGAAAGUUUUUUCAAAUAGCAAGGUUUCAGAACCUGCUUGAGGAUGUGUGUUUUCCUCUGUCCAUAGCCCCUCUUAGGUAGAAUCUCGAUACAUAUAAAAAACACUGUGAAAAUGCUUUUUAAACAAACAUUUUGAAAAAUACAUUGAAUUUGACAUAAGUGUACUAUCGACAUCCAGUCUAGUGUCUAUAAUGCGCUUAAAACACGCUUAAAACCUUAUAUUUGCAGCUGUAUAGCUGAGUCUUUAGGUUCAUUAUACCAGUUCCUUUUCCCCACCUCAGAGACUAUUAGGGAACAGUUUCCUAGAUGACUGUAUGAUUAUCUCCUUCAACCAAAGGUUAACCAGAAUACAACUUGUACAUAAUUUGGGCAACAGGUUUACAAUUUCUGUCAAUCAGUUGGAAUCAGGAAUUCCUUAGGGUCAUUCCAAAUACACUCUUUGGUUUCCAAGUUCACAGAACAACAGCAGUGGCACCUUGUAUUAAAUCUGUCACUGACUUUGCUAUUAACUCUUCUUAGGUAAGGUUUUGUUUCUAUUUUAUCUCCAAGGUUUUUUCAUCCAGGAGAAGUAGUGAGUGAACAAGCUGAAAAGACAAGUGUGACUUAAGUGCUUAAGUGACAUUAUGAACACUACUUCAUGUAUCAUGUUUGUUUCUUUAAAAUGCAAAGUGUGUCAUCUGCUAUCCUGGAGCUGUCCAUGGUCUAGCAGAGCAUUCUUUGGACCUUGCUAUCUAUUCUUCCCUUGCAGCCUGCUUUCUGCCUAUUACCGUACUCUUGAUGCUGAAUCUGUUAUUAGUACCUACCAAUGCUCUGACUCUUCCUCUACUUUUAGCUUCUUGUUGUACACCUGUAGGGCUUGUCUGUCCAGAAAGAUAGCAACAUUUUUCUGUUUGCUUGUUUUGUGUUUCCAACGAGGUGGCUCAGAUAAAAUCAGUUGGGGUUUUUUGCAGGUACUAUAAUGGGUACUUUAUAUGACCAUAACCUUUCCAACAUUCUAUGAGAGAUUAAGACUAUUGUAAAAUACUAGGCACAAAGGUUAAGCUGCCAGUGAACCAUGCUGGGCUGUGAUAUGACCUUUGGGGAACUAGUCACCUCUAAUAAACCAUAUGCUACACAAGACCCACAAUUCUUACCUUACCUUCUUGCACCCUCCAUUUCCCUUGAUCUCCCUUUCCUUCCUCUCGGGCACAUUGCAAGCAUGAUCAAGAUGACCUUUGGGAGUUCUGUUUUCAUGGGUUACUGCUAUUGCUGAAACGAGGGGGCAGGGCUGAAAUCUGAUUUUUGUCCUUCCCUCUGUAAUCCUGGCUGCAAUGCUGCUGUUCCUUCUGUCAUGCCUGGCAAGUUGAUUUAGAAGGAAGGGGGAAGGUGUUUUGAGGAUUGGGUUGGCUAAAUAGGAGGAGCUGGUUUUCAAAAAGUGUUACUAUGUUUAGGUUUGGAGUUUUCGCCAAAGGUGCCUCUCUUCCCAUCUUUGACAUGUGUACUUAACAAAGACAAUACAUGCAUGCCAUUUUCCAAAUGAUAUUGAAAUCAGUUUUUACAUUUCAAAAUAAACUGAAAGACUAGUGGCUGUAUUCUAUAUUCUGGAAUAAAAGCAUUAACAGUUGCUUGCGAAAAUGGCUCUGCUGAUCUCACAUUUCAUUUGGGGUGAGGGGAGAAGCAGAAUGGUUUUUGUAUAGGUCAAAAGCCAAGGACUGUUUUUAUGUGAGAGAUUUAAAUUGCAUUUGAGCCUCCUGUGCUAUUUAUGUUAAUAUCAGAUCACUUAUUCACAUAAAAAAGAAUUUGUAAUAAGGCUGACAUUCUGGUCAAUGUAGGUUUUACAUUCGUAAAACCCUCAUAAAGACUAACGAUAACAGUUUACCCUUGAAACUAAACUAAAAAUGCAUUUCCAAUUUCCAAUUUCCAAACCCAAGACGAAGGUUCACAGAGUUCUCACUAGAUGGAGCUGGUGCUCCCUCGAAGUCCUUCAGCUUGCUGUAAUUGAAGCAACAAUGAAUGUUCCUUGGGAAUCUUUUUUAUAAAAAAAAUGUUUAGUAAAGCAUGUGGCUAAAGCCUAAUUCGAAGGGCAUCAAAGUAUUUCCAGAAAGCAAGGCUUCAUAUUUAGGAGGCAGUGAAACUCCUCAACUAAAUCACUUUGUUUAACUGCAACUUAGAUAAUGCACUGAUGAUGUCAAUAUAAAAAUAUUUUUUGUACAAAUUAAAUACUGAAAGAUAACAUGGAUGGACCAAAUGAUCUCACUGUCUGGAGUUACAGGAACUGGAUGAAAUGUAAUAAUACAAACUGUAAGAUCAUCUGUUUAAAGACUUUUGCUACUUAAUGCAGAAUCAUCUACUGGGAAUGACACAAGAAGAGAGCUGGAGUUCUUCAGAAUUGACCAGAUGACUGAGAUGAUGUGGUGUACUGAGUACAAAUGCAAUCCCAGAGUAUACUACAUAUGACACUUCAAGUUAGAGAUAAGAAAUUAUUAAAAAUGACAAGAUCUUUUUUGGAAAAGUGUUAUCUCAUUUCAACCACAAUAUCAUCACUGCAGCUGACCUUAUGAGAGGAAGCUGGAAGCUGGACCAGCAAAAUGGAAAGUAUAUAUACACUCUCCCAUUUUUGCUGUCAGGAGAAACAAUUAAUUAAAGACACUUCCACCCAAGCCAGUUCUUCACUUUCCCACACACAUAAAACUCCAACCACAGAACUGUAGAUAUUGGGACUCUGGUUUGCACUUUUAAAAACAAGGUAUUUCCCAAUUCCGUAAAACAUUGUAUAAUUCAGACGAAACAAAUACCAGACAAUGUUUUCAACAAAAUGAUUCAGAAAGGUCUAUCCAAAGUGAAUUUUCCUAUUGGGCGUAGUCUUCAUUAUUUUAAAAACUUAGAACCUCCUGCACAAGUCUGUGCUUUUUAUUUAUAUAUUUGCAUCAGUUUUCAGCUGAAAACUAGAAUUUAAAUUUUUACAAGUAGCCCAUAGUUUAUAAUGCAGUUUUACAUUUUUAAUGGAAUUUCACAAGUCCAAGAGGGCAGUUAUUCGAUUUUCCCCCUCCCAAGUGCAUUAAUAUACAGUUAGAUUACAUUUUUAC